rnacentral:lncRNA from 1 species
CACAAUCACUCUCCUGUUCUGCUUUUAGAAUAUUUCUCAUUUUUGUUAUAAAUAACAUUAAUGAACAUUCUGUAAUGUAAAACUGUGUGCAUUAUUUCAUUAUAUCCUUAAGAUAAAUGUCUAGAAAUAGAAUUAUUGAAUUAAAUAAUAUUACUAGUGGAAAUUUUAAGGCACUUUAUUUCUCUGCAAAAUUGAAAUCGAAUUAAUUAAAUUCGAAUUAAUUAAAUCAAAUUAAUUUCACAAGUAUAUAUGAAAGUUCAUUUUGCCACACAUUAACACUAUAUAUUACCACUUAAAAUAAGUUAUCUAUCAGAGAAGAGCUAUUCUAAAUGAUUUUUUUUUCUUUUUAGGGCCACGCCCGCAGCAUAAUGGAGUUUCCCAGGCUAGGGGUCAAAUCAGAGCUACAGCCACAGCAACGUGGGAUCCAAGCCACAUCUGUGACCUACACCACAGCUCAUUGCAAUGUCAUAUCCUUCAUCCAAUGAGCAAGGCCAGGGAUUGAACUUGCAUCCUCAUGGAUGCUAGUCAGAUUCCUUUCCACUGAGCCACGAUGAGAACUCCUCAAUGAUUUUAAAACACAAUAUUUUGACUGUUCAUCCCUAAGAAGAUAUGCUUUAAAAACAAAAAGAACAUUACUAAAACCCUACACAUAUAUUUUAUUGAUGGUAUUUGUGGUAGUGUAGGCAUUGUUACUGUGAGUCUGUUACAUGUAUUAUUACCACUCAAGGCAAAUGAGUAAUUAUAAUGGUGUCCUUAAAAAUCAGGAUUUUGGACAUGGAAUGCAGAUAUAAUAACAAUAAAAUUUUGUAAAAUUCCUGUAGUCUUAACAUUGAAUUGAAAAUAUCUGUAUGAAUUCCAAAACUAUUUUAUCUUAGAAGAAUUUAAAACAUGUUUUAGCUCUGUCCAGUACAAAGGCCUAGAAGCGAUGAUCAAUGCAUAACAUUGAAUACAGCAGUGCCAAAAUUGUUCUCUCCGAGUAUCUUUCCCGAUAAAAGGAGCCAAAGCUUUUUGAAGAAACAGCUCAAUACAGAAGUGGAACUGAGGAUGUGCAAGAUAAAAAUGGAUGACAAAAAAAAACAGAGAAACAGAACCAUCGAACAACACAUAAGUCACCUUGAAGAGGUUUGCUUCUGUUGAUCAAAGACAGGACAAUACAAACAUCAAUGAGAAUAGUAAUAAUGGUGGUUUAAAAUAAAUCCUGUACUUUUUAAAUUAAAAAAAUUAAAAAACCUCAUUCUUCAUCUUUGGAUGAAGGAACAAUGCAUUAUUUGAAAACUACUAAAUAAGAGAAAAAUAAAACAUUUUUGUAGUCUUUCCUUUAUAGGCUGUACUGCUAGAUAACCAAAGAAUUAAUGAAAGAAAGUUCCUCUUUAUUAAAGUAUUCCAAAUAAUCAAUUAAAAGGGAAGGAUAGAAUUAAAAUAUCACCAUUCUGUGACUCCUGAUGACUGAAUAGAUGUAAACAUUGAUGGUCAACAGCUUUCAACAUGGAGAUAGCCUGGUGUUAUUCGUCACCAAUAGAAAAUCACAACCCCAUCUAUCUAGUAGUCUAGAAAGAAAAAUCAAACCUGAAUUAUUAUCAAGACUCUAAAUCUAACUUCUAAUUUUUAGAAAGAGACAAAGGAACCUAUUAAAUGACACCACUGGAAUACAAAUGGUGAAAUUCAGACUAUAGAAAAUUCUACAGAACAAAUGACUCAACUUCUUCAAGAAAUAAAUUGAAAAAUAUAAAAGGGGGGCAAGGAAAGAAAGAAGGAGGGGAAGAGAGGAAAGAAGAGGGGAAAAAGAAAGAGAAGUGAAUCUAUCAAUUGAAGGAAACUUUACAGGCAUGAUAUACCCCAUCUUUUUAAAAGAACAAAAAAGAAACAUUUUUUUAAAGAACUUUUUUUUUCUUUAAGAACAUUUUAAAAGAACAAAACACUUUGAAGUAUCCCCUGUGAGGUGAGAAGAAAGAGUGAAUCAAUCACAAAUAACUUCUAUGCCUUGGGAAGAAAUUGCAUAGUCUGACAGUUUGGGGAAUUAUUUUUCUGUUGCUGAGGUAUAGUUAAUGACUGGUAUAAGUUACAGGUGUACAAUAUAGUAACUCAUAAUUAAUUUAUUAUGAAAUAUUGGUUAUAUUCCCUGUGUUAUUCAAUAUAUCCUUGUAGCUUAUUUUAUACGUAAGUUUGUACUUCCUUGAGAACUAUUUUUUGAAUAAUAAGAAAAAAAAAUGUGUGAGCUUGUAAUUUUCUGGCCCUUGUAAAAGAAAUGCUGGAGUUCCUACUGUGGUGCAGGCGAAAUGAAUCCAACUAGUAUCCAUGAGGAUGCAGGUUCAAUCCCUGGUCUUGCUCAUUAGGUUAAGGAUCUGGUAUUGCUGAGCGCCUCAGUGUAAGUUGCAGACGCAGAUUGGAUCCUGCAUUGCUGGUAGCUGCUGGCGUAGGCUACAGCUCCAAUUUGACCCCUAGUUUGGGAACCUACAUAUGCCUUGAAUGCGGCUCUAAAAAGCAAAAAAAAAAAGAAAAAGAAAGAAAUGCUAUCCAUGCCCAACUUAAAGAAUAGUUAGUAUAAAAUAAUAGAGUUAGUUCUUGGAACUCAGAUGAUAUUAAUUAGUGAUACUUUAUUUUCCUGUUUGUAAAAAUGAAAGGAAGUGAAAAUGUCAUUAAUAAGCAUUUUUCUUAGCCUCAUAUUUUUUAAUGUUACAAAUGUAGUUGGCUAGAAUAUAGACAAAGCAAGCUUAUCCUCUGUGUGAAAGAUUUGUAAUUAUUAUCUGCUGCAUUUUUUUUAAAUAUAGUUUGCCAGUAUGCAAAUAUGACUAAAAGAUAUAGUUUCCCGAUGUGGCACUCAAAUUUAAGGCAUGAAUAAAAAGUCUCUCCUCAGUGGGUGCUGUGGACAAGUUUCUGGGUAAUCUCAAGGCAGGAUUGCUUCCCCCAACUCCCCCAACCCCCCACCAGGACCACGCAGAAAAGGUCUUUCCACCUGCAGCAUAUGGAGGUUCCCAGGCUAGGGGUCAAAUUUGAGCUACAACUGCCAGCGUAUGCCACAGCCACAGUAACAUGGGGAUCCAAGCAGCAUAUGUGAUCUACACCACUACCAACACCAGAUCCUUAACCCACUGAGCAAGGCCAGGGAUCCAACCUGCGUCCUCAUGGAUACUGGUUGGGUUCAUUACUGCUGAGCUACGACAGGAACUCCUAGAUCAGUCUUUUUUUUCACUUUUCUUCAUAGUAAUACUCAACCCUCAUGAUGUCCACAAGAACACAGCUCCCUCAGGGUACGCAACUUAUACAACUCAUUUAGGACCAUAGAAUCAUAGACUAAAACAUUUAAAAAGGCUCAAAUUCUAUUACAGUGAGAAAAAAUGUCAGAAUACAAGUUAUACAGUGUUGAGGUAAUUUGUAAGUACACAGUCUCACAUUCCUCAAUAAACUUGGCACAGGUUUAAAGCUUUAAACAGUUUGUUCUUGGAUGACUUCACUUUUAUUCCCCUUAGAGACAGCUGGCCCCUCUUUUGGCCUUGACUCAGCAUCACUGUCCUUUCUUGCUAGAUCUACAUUAUUCUGGGCCUCCUCUGAGUUUUACUUCUACAGAUUAGCUAGACCCUUAGAGAACCAGGCUCCUUUCCAGCUCUCUGCACUCACAUGAAAACUGUUCUGGUAGCUCCAAAUGUGAACUGAGAAUUUUCAAACAACCUUCCUCUUUGGUCUGGGCAAUGACACAGUUUCCCUGAGCUAAACAUCAUCCCAUGAUCAAAAUGUUCUGGGUUUCCUCUUAACUGUUUUACUUUUUUCCCACUCUCCUUCCGUUGCU